CUAGCUUUCUUUGCUUGACUACAAGCCGCAAUUGCUUUAAACUCCCUAUCGAUCUGCACCAUCAACAUAAUCCAUUCCCAGCCAUACAAAAGUUGGUGGUGCAAGCAAAAUCGAUUGUGGACAACAAGAAUAGUGUUCUGAGCCAGACUUUCGUUGAAUUUCUUUACGAAUGCCUUGGAUAUGUAAAUGCAACCGGGCAUAUGUAAAUAUUGGCAUUAGUGACAUGUGCAAAUGUUUGUAUGGCUGAUUCCCUGAGACCCUAACUUGUGACUUUUAAUACCAGUUUCACAAGUUUUGAUCUCCGGUAUUGGACGCAAACUUGCUGAUGUUAGUAAAAAAAAGAAAACCCAGGCAAAAACAAUAACAACUGAUCGACGGUAGUAAAAUCGGAAGUACAGAAAAAUUCUCCACAAGAAAUAUGCAGUUCUGCUGGUUAUGGAUGAGUGGACAAGAUAAAAGCUUUUGAGGAAUAACUUUUGGACUGGCAAUUUACAUAAGUCGAAGUUCCUACAAAGUGGAUAUGUAUUUAGCAGGUCGCGAACAAUGUUUUAAGCAAAUUUACUUGUUAAUGCUUUUUAUAACCUUAUUACUUGUCAUUUUUUAUAUAUAUAUCCAAUUAAAAACCAAAAUCUUAACAAUAAUAUCACAGCAUUACCAGAUUAAAUAAUUUGUAUAUAGCAAAAUAUUUGUUAUUUACGUCUUUUUGUUUUUUACUUUAGUAGAAUAUAACCAAUUGCCCUGUAUACAGCUACAAGUUUCAUCUUAUUUUGAGAAUUUAAAAAGUCUACUUUAUUUCCUUUUUAAGUUGAAAUAAUUUAUUUGUAAAAAUAAAUGAUCCGUUUUAAACAAUAUUUCAUUUAAUUUUUUUUACAAAUUGAUGUUUUUACCAAUAUAUUGCGAAAAUAUUUGAAUUGGUUAAUUUAUUUUUAGGAAUAUCAAAUUAUUUAGUUUUUGUUAUUCCAAAUUCCCAAAAAAAAACUGUUUACCUAUAAAAAGUCUUUAUUGUAAACCCAAUGAUGUCUUCUAUUAAAACCAUCACUGAAACCACACAGUAAACUAUAUAUAAACUACUUCUAAGUUCUAGAGAUACAAUGUGAGAAAGUUUUGAAUAAAUCGAUAAAGGGUUUGAUUUUGAUCUGAACAAUUUCAUUGUCAAGAGAGUACAAAACAUA